rnacentral:rRNA from 1 species
AGCGAACGCUGGCGGCAGGCCUAACACAUGCAAGUCGAACGAACUCUUCGGAGUUAGUGGCGGACGGGUGAGUAACACGUGGGAACGUGCCUUUAGGUUCGGAAUAACUCAGGGAAACUUGUGCUAAUACCGAAUGUGCCCUUCGGGGGAAAGAUUUAUCGCCUUUAGAGCGGCCCGCGUCUGAUUAGCUAGUUGGUGAGGUAAAGGCUCACCAAGGCGACGAUCAGUAGCUGGUCUGAGAGGAUGAUCAGCCACAUUGGGACUGAGACACGGCCCAAACUCCUACGGGAGGCAGCAGUGGGGAAUCUUGCGCAAUGGGCGAAAGCCUGACGCAGCCAUGCCGCGUGAAUGAUGAAGGUCUUAGGAUUGUAAUAUUCUUUCACCGGGGACGAUAAUGACGGUACCCGGAGAAGAAGCCCCGGCUAACUUCGUG